rnacentral:lncRNA from 1 species
GGAAGUCAAUGGAUGUGGAUACCCGAAAUUUUAUCCGAACCCGAACCCGAAUGAAACGGAUAUAUCCUAUGGAUAUGAAUAUGGAUUCGAAUAUGGAUAUCAAAAAUAGAAAAUAGACAGAUAUGGAUUCGAAUAUGGAUUUUAAUUAUACCCGAUCCGAAUCCGAACCCGACCUGAACCCGACCCGAACCCGAAUUUAUUUUGUAUUAUAUAUAAUAUAUAUAAAAAAAUUUGAUGUUAUAUUUGAAUUUGUAUUUUAAAAAUUUAGAUUUAAUAUAAUAUAUUUUGAAAUAUUGAAAAAAGAAAUAAUUGUUUCGGGUUUAAAUUUUCGGGUUCGGGUUCGGUUUUUGGAUUUUUGGUCGGGUUCGGGUUUGGAUAUGGAUUUUUAAAAUCUGUCGGGUUCGGGUUCGGGUCUCGGGUUUGGAGUCGGGUUCGGGUUCGGGUUUUUAAAAAUCCGGCCCGAAUCCGAAUCCAAAAAUCAAAUUAAAACUCGAACACGAAUCCGAACCCGAUAGGUUUUAAAAAUCCAUAUCCUAUGGAUAUGGAUUUUUAAAACCUGAUCCAAAUCCGACCCGUUGACAUGCCUAAAGGAGGAAAAAAAAUAAUAUAGGCACGAUGAAUUGUUCAUCGUGUUUAACUUAACACACUGGCCCCAGCACUGCCCGCGUGGCGCUGACGUGGCUCCUGUGUGGUAGGGCCAGAACCAUUUUUAUAAAAUAAAU